UUGACCUUGUAACAUAGAGCUUUACAAAAUCACGCUGUCGUCACGAACAUGUAAUGUAAAUAACACACCGUAAAAGCCCACUUUGAAUGUUGUAAGAACUUAGGGUCCUACCCUUUCUUCAAAAAAGUUGUAUUGCUAUGUAUAUUUUGUAGUUUUUUAUUAUUUUGGAAAUAAAAUAUGUUUCUCAAGUCCCAAAUUUAGAUUGUGUAAAUGUGAGCUAUUUAUGUCGUUAUGAAAGAAAAGCUUAUUGAGGUUUUUAUACCUUAUUAUCUGGCAAGCAAGAUUAAACUAUAAAAAUAUAUACAAUCUUUUAUUUUAUAGGUGUGUGAUAGAUUACGGCUAUUGUUUACGUAAACAAUCGUUUACUAUACUUUUGAGUUUUGACUAAUUAACUUUGAUACAGCCAGCAUAUUAAGCAUACUGUGGUAAAUAGUUAAGUGGUGUGUAACCCAGAACUGUGAGGUGUAGUACAUUUGAUGAUGAAAGCAAAACAUUUGUGCAGUCGUUUCAGUUGUCUCUAGAAGUUCUCAGCGUUAGGAUCUCGUAUCUUCAAGUAUUCUGGUUAAGAACGGUGCGUCCAGCCUUCCAGCUUGGUACAUGUAUUAAAUUUUUUACAGGAUGGUCAUGGAAAAGUUAGCCUCACAGACAUGUCAAGGAGAAGGAUCGCCAGUGGGAUAAAGACUACCAAACUUACGAGGAAUUGAAGGUUUCAGCUUGCCACCAGUGCAUAGAGCAGGGAGGAAAUGUCGAGGAUGCCAAGCUAUGGAUGGGCUUUUUUCACUUACAGUGGGGUACAUUCAGUUCAGAGUGGAAUGCGCAUCAAGGAGUCAAGCUAUUCAAAAGAUGCCAUAUGUG